rnacentral:rRNA from 1 species
UACGAAGGGGGCUAGCGUUGCUCGGAAUCACUGGGCGUAAAGCGCACGUAGGCGGCUUUCUAAGUCAGGGGUGAAAUCCUGGAGCUCAACUCCAGAACUGCCUUUGAUACUGGAGAGCUUGAGUCCGGAAGAGGUGAGUGGAACUCCGAGUGUAGAGGUGAAAUUCGUAGAUAUUCGGAAGAACACCAGUGGCGAAGGCGGCUCACUGGUCCGGUACUGACGCUGAUGUGCGAAAGCGUGGGAGCAACAG